rnacentral:rRNA from 1 species
UACGAAGGGGGCUAGCGUUGUUCGGAAUCACUGGGCGUAAAGGGCGCGUAGGCGGCCGAUCAAGUCGGGGGUGAAAGCCUGUGGCUCAACCACAGAAUUGCCUUCGAUACUGGUUGGCUUGAGACCGGAAGAGGUAAGUGGAACUGCGAGUGUAGAGGUGAAAUUCGUAGAUAUUCGCAAGAACACCAGUGGCGAAGGCGGCUUACUGGUCCGAUACUGACGCUGAGGCGCGAAAGCGUGGGGAGCAAACAGG